UACGAAGGGUGCAAGCGUUAUUCGGAAUCAUUGGGCGUAAAGGGUGUGUAGACGGUAUAUUAAGUCUGUUGUUAAAUGCUCCAGCCUAACUGGAGACCUGCAGUGGAAACUGAUAUGCUAGAGGGUGGAAGAGAGAAGUGGAAUUCUCGGAGUAGCGGUAAAAUGCGUAGAUCUCGAGAGGAACACCAAUGGCGAAGGCAGCUUCUUAGUCCAUUCCUGACGUUGAAACACGAAAGCGUGGGGAGCAAACAGG
rnacentral:rRNA from 1 species